rnacentral:rRNA from 1 species
ACGGGUGAGUAACGCGUGGGAAUCUACCUAUCGGUGAGGAAUACCCUCGAGAAAUCGAGGUUAAUACUGCAUACGUCUAGAAAUAGAGAAAGGUGGCUUUAUGCUAUCGCCGAAAGAUGAGCCCGCGUACUAUUAGCUAGUUGGUAGGGUAAUGGCCUACCAAGGCGACGAUGGUUAGCCGGCCUGAGAGGGUGUACGGCCACACUGGAACUUAGACACGGUCCAGACUCCUACGGGAGGCAGCAGUGAGGAAUAUUGCACAAUGGGCGAAAGCUUGAUGCAGCGACGCCGCGUGGAGGAUGAAGGUCUUAGGAUUGUAAACUUCUGUUAAGUGGGAAGAAAAGCUGAAUGCUAAUAUCAUUCAGUAAUGACGGUACCAUUAGAGAAAGCACCGGCUAAACUCGUGCCAGCAGCCGCGGUAAUACGAGUGGUGCAAGCGUUAUUCGGAAUAAUUGGGCGUAAAGGGUGCGCAGGCGGUGUAUUAAGUCAACUGUUAAAUGCCCCAGCCAAACUGAGGAACAGCAGUAGAUACUGGUACGCUAGAGAGUGGAAGAGAGAAGUGGAAUUCUUGGAGUAGCGGUAAAAUG